GGACCACAGCUCAGUGGCAGAGUGCAUGGUCUUGUGUGUCAAAGGUCUCAGGUUCGAUCCCUGGUGUCUCCU